rnacentral:rRNA from 1 species
ACGAACGCUGGCGGCGUGCUUAACACCUGCCAGUCGAACGGAAAGGCCCUGCUUGCAGGGUACUCGAGUGGCGAACGGGUGAGUAACACGUGGGUGAUCUGCCCUGCACUUCGGGAUAAGCUUGGGAAACUGGGUCUAAUACCGGAUAGGAACCAUCUUUAGUGUGGUGGUUGGAAAGUUUUUUCGGUGUAGGAUGAGCUCGCGGCCUAUCAGCUUGUUGGUGGGGUAAUGGCCUACCAAGGCGGCGACGGGUAGCCGGCCUGAGAGGGUGUACGGCCACAUUGGGACUGAGAUACGGCCCAGACUCCUACGGGAGGCAGCAGUGGGGAAUAUUGCACAAUGGGCGCAAGCCUGAUGCAGCGACGCCGCGUGGGGGAUGAAGGCCUUCGGGUUGUAAACUCCUUUCGCUAGGGACGAAGCUUUGUUGUGACGGUACCUAGAUAAGAAGCACCGGCUAACUACGUG